ACGGAAACAAACAACGGAAACAAACAACGGAAACAAACAACGGAAACAAACAACGGAAACAAACAACGGAAACAACCUCCACAGAGACAGAAACAUAAGGCAGAAAAUUAGGUGACAGGUCAAGACCAACAACGGAAACAACGGAAAGAACAGAAAGAACCUCCACAGAGACAGAAACAUAGGGCAGAAAAUUAGGUGACAGUUCAAGAACAACAACAGAAAGAACGGAAAGAACGGAAAGAACGAAAAGAACCUCCACAGAGACAGAAACAUAGGGCAGAAAAUUAGGUGACAGUUCAAAAACAACAAUGGAAAGAACGGAAAGAACGGAAAGAACGGAAUGAACGGAAUGAACCUCCACAGAGACAGAAACAUAGGGCAGAAAAUUAGGUGACAGUUCCAAAACAACAACGGAAUGAACGGAAAGAACGGAAACAACGGAAAGAACCUCCACAGAGACAGAAACAUAGGGCAGAAAAUUAGGUGACAGUUCAAAACAACAAAAAGAACGGAAAGAACGGAAAGAACGAAAGAACGGAAAGAACCUCCACAGAGACAGAAACAUAGGGCAGAAAAUUAGGUGACAGUUCAAGACCAACAACAGAAAGAACGGAAAGAACGGAAAGGACCUCCACAGAGACAGAAACAUAGGGCAGAAAAUUAGGUGACAGUUCAAAAACAACAACAGAAAGAACGGAAAGAACGGACAGAACGGAAAGAACAUCCACAGAGACAGAAACAUAGGGCAGAAAAUUAGGUGACAGUUCAAAAACAACAACAGAAAGAACGGAAAGAACGGAAAGUACCUCCACAGAGACAGAAACAUAGAGCAGAAAAUUAGGUGACAGUUCAAAUACAACAACAGAAAGAACGGAAAGAACGGAAAGAACCUCCACAAAGAAAGAAACAUAGGGCAGAAAAUUAGGCGGCAGUUCAAAAAGAACAACGGAAAGAACGGAAAGAACGGAAAGAACGGAAAGAACGGAAAGAACGGAAAGAACGGAAAGAACGGAAAGAACGGAAAGAACGGAAAGAACGGAAAGAACGGAAAGAACGGAAAGAACCUCCACAGAGACAGAAACAUAGAGCAGAAAAUUAGGUGACAGUUCAAAAACAACAACGGAAAGAACGGAAAGAACGGAAAGAACGGAAAGAACGGAAAGAACGGAAAGAACGGAAAGAACGGAAAGAACGG
rnacentral:lncRNA from 1 species